rnacentral:lncRNA from 1 species
UUAUUAUAUUAAGAACGAGGGAGUAACACGUAUGAAAACAGUGUGCGUGUGAUUUUGUGCUGGCAAUACAUUUCCCCAAAUAGCUAGUUGUGUUGAUUAUACUUAUAAUGUCGUACUCGUACACAUGAGAAUCUCAUCGAAAAAAACUUUACACUCCAUAAAAGAAGAGAAAAAGAGAGAUUGCAACAAAAGUCAAGUCAUGCAGGCGUAAGCUUAUGAAGUAGAA